AACACUUGAAAAUUGCCGCAGAAGUCGGUGAUCGAGCCAUGGUAGGAACAGCGCAUAGAAAUCUCGGCAAUGCUUACCACUCACAGGGUAACUAUCAAAAAUCCAUUGAUUAUCACGAAAAAGAUUUGAAAAUUGCAUUAGAAAUCGGUGAUCGGGCAGGAGAAGGGAGAGCCUAUCAAAGUCUGGGCGAUGCUUACCAGUCAAUGGGUGACGAUCGAAAAGUUAUUGAGUAUUAUGAGAAAUAUUUGAAAAUUGCAAAAGAAAUCGGUGAUCGGGCUGGAGAAGGAAGAGCCUAUGGAAAUAUACGCAGUGCUUACGAUUCACUGGGUGCCUAU